AGCGAACGUUUGCGGCGGGCCUAACACAUGCAAGUCGAACGCACUAGCAAUAGUGAGUGGCGCACGGGUGCGUAACACGUGGGCAACCUGCCUGUAAGACUGGGAUAACAUCGAGAAAUCGGUGCUAAUACCGGAUAAUAAAAAGAACUGCAUGGUUCUUUUUUGAAGAUGGUUUCGGCUAUCACUUACAGAUGGGCCCGCGGCGCAUUAGCUAGUUGGUGAGGUAACGGCUCACCAAGGCAACGAUGCGUAGCCGACCUGAGAGGGUGAUCGGCCACACUGGGACUGAGACACGGCCCAGACUCCUACGGGAGGCAGCAGUAGGGAAUCUUCCGCAAUGGACGAAAGUCUGACGGAGCAACGCCGCGUGAGUGAUGAAGGUUUUACGGUAUCGUAAAACUACUGUUGUUAGGGUAAGGAACAAGUAGCCGUUCCGUAAAGGGACGGGCACCUU
rnacentral:rRNA from 1 species